UACAGAGGUCUCAAGCGUUGUUCGGAUUCAUUGGGCGUAAAGGGUGCGUAGGCGGCGCGGUAAGUCGGGUGUGAAAUCUCGGAGCUCAACCCCGGAACUGCAUUGGAUACUGCCUUGCUAGAGUACUGGAGAGGGAACUGGAAUUUACGGUGUAGCAGUGAAAUGCGUAGAGAUCGUAAGGAAGGCCAGUGGCGAAGGCGAGUUCCUGGACAGUGACUGACGCUGAGGCACGAAGGCCAGGGGAGCAAACGGG
rnacentral:rRNA from 1 species